UGCUCGAGUGGCGAACGGGUGAGUAACACGUGGGUGAUCUGCCCUGCACUUCGGGAUAAGCUUGGGAAACUGGGUCUAAUACCGGAUAGGACCAUCGUUUAGUGUCGGUGGUGGAAAGUUUUUUCGGUGUGGGAUGAGCUCGCGGCCUAUCAGCUUGUUGGUGGGGUAAUGGCCUACCAAGGCGUCGACGGGUAGCCGGCCUGAGAGGGUGCACGGCCACAUUGGGACUGAGAUACGGCCCAG
rnacentral:rRNA from 1 species